rnacentral:rRNA from 1 species
GUGGUGGAUUAGUGGCGAACGGGUGAGUAACACGUGGGCAAUCUGCCCUGUACUUCGGGAUAAGCCUUGGAAACGGGGUCUAAUACCGGAUGGGACUGCCGGCCGCAUGGUCUGGUGGUGGAAAGCUCCGGCGGUACAGGAUGAGCUCGCGGCCUAUCAGCUUGUUGGUGGGGUGAUGGCCUACCAAGGCGACGACGGGUAGCCGGCCUGAGAGGGCGACCGGCCACACUGGGACUGAGACACGGCCCAGACUCCUACGGGAGGCAGCAGUGGGGAAUAUUGCACAAUGGGCGCAAGCCUGAUGCAGCGACGCCGCGUGAGGGAUGACGGCCUUCGGGUUGUAAACCUCUUUCAGCAGGGAAGAAGCCUUAAAAAGUGACGGUACCUGCAGAAGAAGCACCGGCUAACUACGUGCCAGCAGCCGCGGUAAUACGUAGGGUGCAAGCGUUGUCCGGAAUUAUUGGGCGUAAAGAGCUCGUAGGCGGCGUGUCGCGUCGGAUGUGAAAGCCCGGGGCUUAACCCCGGGUUGGCAUUCGAUACGGGCAGGCUAGAGUUCGGUAGGGGAGAUUGGAAUUCCUGGUGUAGCGGUGAAAUGCGCAGA